rnacentral:rRNA from 1 species
UAAACGACUCUCGGCAACGGAUAUCUCGGCUCUCGCAUCGAUGAAGAACGUAGCGAAAUGCGAUACCUGGUGUGAAUUGCAGAAUCCCGUGAACCAUCGAGUCUUUGAACGCAAGUUGCGCCCGAAGCCAUUAGGCCGAGGGCACGCCUGCCUGGGCGUCACAC